UGGUUAGGAUUCGGCGCUCUCACCG
rnacentral:piRNA from 4 species